rnacentral:lncRNA from 1 species
UUCCUCAUAUGUCAUUUAAUGUCAACGGAAAUUUAGUACAUAAUUCUUACUAUAUAUAUUAUUCACAUUUACUCUUAGGAAGACUGGUCGGCUAUCAGAUAAUGGAAGAAAUCUCUAUUUAAAUUUCAUAAUAAGUUGACAAAAAAAAAUUCAUAAUAAGUUAAUAAAUUAAUAAAAAAUGCAAAGAGGUGUAUAUACGAGGAUAAGAAAAUUAGUCGCUAGAGAAAAUUGACCAAUAAGAAAAUUAUGCGUGAUUUGUGAUCGUUGAUAUCAACCAUAUAUAGUUCAAUGACUGAUUGCUAAACUGAAGUUUAUAAUUGCUAAACUGAACUUUAUAAUUGCUACAUUUAAUAACGUUUAGAUGUUUCUUUUGUUAGUUCGAAAUUUGUCUCCAUAACUUAUAGUAGUUCUGACUCAAUUGGUUGCAAGGACUCUUUUGGCAGAGGUUGGUUGAGUUCUUGUUCACGAGUUCGAGUUUCUCCUAAAAAGGAACUGUUUCCGUCUGAACAUAUAUCACCAAGCAGCUAAUUACAUAUUGGAAAAGAUUGUAGAACAAAGGUCUUAAUUUUUUUUUGUUAAAGAAAACCCUAAUAUUUUGCUCAUUAACAUCUACUAUAUGAAUCCCCUAGAGACCCAU